GAUUAUAUCUCUGCGCUUUGAUG
rnacentral:siRNA from 1 species